rnacentral:rRNA from 1 species
ACGCUAGCUACAGGCUUAACACAUGCAAGUCGAGGGGCAGCAUGGAAGAAGCUUGCUUCUUCUGAUGGCGACCGGCGCACGGGUGCGUAACGCGUAUCAAACCUGCCUCAUACUCGGGGAUAGCCUUGCGAAAGUAAGAUUAAUACCCGAUGUUGUUAUGUUGCCGCAUGGUGAUAUAACCAAAGAUUUAUCGGUAUGAGAUGGUGAUGCGUCCGAUUAGGUAGUAGGCGGGGUAACGGCCCACCUAGCCUUCGAUCGGUAGGGGUUCUGAGAGGAAGGUCCCCCACACUGGAACUGAGACACGGUCCAGACUCCUACGGGAGGCAGCAGUGAGGAAUAUUGGUCAAUGGACGGAAGUCUGAACCAGCCAAGUAGCGUGCAGGAUGACGGCCCUCCGGGUUGUAAGCUGCUUUUAGUUGGGAAUAAAAAAGAGGACGUGUCCUCUAUUGUAUGUACCUUCAGAAAAAGGACCGGCUAAUUCCGUGCCAGCAGCCGCGGUAAUACGGAAGGUCCAGGCGUUAUCCGGAUUUAUUGGGUUUAAAGGGAGCGUAGGCGGAUUAUUAAGUCAGUGGUGAAAGACGGUGGCUCAACCAUCGUUAGCCAUUGAAACUGGUAGUCUUGAGUGCAGACAGGGAUGCUGGAACUCGUGGUGUAGCGGUGAAAUGCUUAGAUAUCACGAUGAACUCCGAUCGCGAAGGCAGGUGUCCGGGCUGCAACUGACGCUGAGGCUCGAAAGUGUGGGUAUCAAACAGGAUUAGAUACCCUGGUAGUCCACACAGUAAACGAUGUAUACUCGCGGUUUGCGAUACAAUGUAAGCCGCCAAGCGAAAGCAUUAAGUAUACCACCUGGGGAGUACGCCGGCAACGGUGAAACUCAAAGGAAUUGACGGGGGCCCGCACAAGCGGAGGAACAUGUGGUUU